rnacentral:rRNA from 1 species
CAGGACGAACGCUGGCGGCGUGCCUAACACAUGCAAGUCGAGCGGAGUUAACAAGGGGAAGUUUCGGAUGGAAUUUGUUAAUUAGCGGCGGACGGGUGAGUAACGCGUGAGCGACCAACCUUGCACAGGGGGAUAACGGACCGAAAGGUUCACUAAUACCGCAUGAGACCACGGUGUUGCAUGACACAGAGGUCAAAGGAGCAAUCCGGUGCAAGACGGGCUCGCGUCCGAUUAGGUAGUUGGUGGGGUAAUGGCCCACCAAGCCUAUGAUCGGUAGCCGACCUGAGAGGGUGAUCGGCCACAUUGGAACUGAGAUACGGUCCAAACUCCUACGGGAGGCAGCAGUGGGGAAUAUUGGGCAAUGGGGGGAAAAACCCCUGACCCAGCAACGCCGCGUGAAGGAAGAAGGUUUUCGGAUUGUAAACUUCUGUCCUUGGUGAAGAGAAGAAGACGGUAGCCAAGGAGGAAGCCCCGGCUAACUACGUGCCAGCAGCCGC